AGUGAACGCUGGCGGUAGGCCUAACACAUGCAAGUCGAACGGCAGCACAGUAAGGGCUUGCUCUUACGGGUGGCGAGUGGCGGACGGGUGAGGAAUACAUCGGAAUCUACUUUUUCGUGGGGGAUAACGUAGGGAAACUUACGCUAAUACCGCAUACGACCUACGGGUGAAAGCAGGGGAUCUUCGGACCUUGCGCGAUUGAAUGAGCCGAUGUCGGAUUAGCUAGUUGGCGGGGUAAAGGCCCACCAAGGCGACGAUCCGUAGCUGGUCUGAGAGGAUGAUCAGCCACACUGGAGCUGAGACACGGUCCAGACUCCUACGGGAGGCAGCAGUGGGGAAUAUUGGACGAUGGGCGCAAGCCUGAUCCAGCCAUACCGCGUGGGUGAAGAAGGCCUUCGGGUUGUAAAGCCCUUUUGUUGGGAAAGAAAAGCAGCAGGUUAAUACCCCGCUGUUCUGACGGUACCCAAAGAAUAAGCACCGGCUAACUUCGUG
rnacentral:rRNA from 1 species